AUUGAACGCUGGCGGCAGGCCUAACACAUGCACGUCGAACGAGUGGCGGACGGGUGAGUAAUGUCUGGGAAACUGCCUGAUGGAGGGGGUUAACUACAGGAAACGGUAGCUAAUACCGUAUACCAUCAGAUGUGCCCAGAUGGGAUUAGCUUGGUGGUGGGGUAACGGCUUACCAAGGCGACGAUCCCUAGCUGGUCUGAGAGGAUGACCAGCAACACUGGAACUGAGACACGGUCCAGACGCCUACGGGAGGCAGCAGUAGGGAAUAUUGCACAAUUGGCGCAAGCCUGAUGCAGCCAUGCCGCUUGUAUGAAGAAGGCCUUCGGGUUUUAAAGUACUUUCAGCGGGGAGGCGUUACCCGCAGAAGAAGCACCGGCUAACUCCGUGCCAGCAGCCGCGGUAAUAC
rnacentral:rRNA from 1 species